GACGAACGCUGGCGGCGUGCCUAAUACAUGCAAGUUGAGCGCUGAAGGAUGGUACUUGUACCAACUGGAUGAGCAGCGAACGGGUGAGUAACGCGUGGGUAAUCUGCCUCUGAGCGGGGGGCAACAUUUGGAAACGAAUGCUAAUACCGCAUAAAAACUUUAAACACAAGUUUUAAGUGUGAAAGAUGCAAUUGCAUCACUCAAAGAUGAUCCCGCGUUGUAUUAGCUAGUUGGUGAGGGAAAGGCUCACCAAGGCGAUGAUACAUAGCCGACCUGAGAGGGUGGUCGGCCACAAUGGGACUGAGACACGGCCCAAACUUCUACGGGAGGCAGCAGUAGGGAAUCUUCGGCCAAGGACGGAAGUCUGACCGAGCAAAGCCGCGUGAGGGGAGGAGGGUUUCGGAUCGUAAAACUCUUUUGGUAGAGAAGAACGUUGGGGAGAGUGGAAAGCUCAUCAAGUGACGGUAACUACCCAGAAAGGGACGGCUAACUACGUG
rnacentral:rRNA from 1 species